CUUCCGUCGCUUUUCAGCUAACGUAAGUGGCCUACUACCAACUUCGUCUACAGACGAAAUCGAACUGCUGGUAUACCAGUUUCCAGUAGGUUACGGCGACAGGAGGUGCCUAAUUCUAGGUCCUCCGUCCUACGAUGGUGAAGUUCAAAGAAACAAAAACAAAGGUUGCUCGAUGUGGCUUCCAAUGUCCCAAGUAGGCAAGCCGCCACUGUGCUGCCAAAUGAUCUACUUUCUUCUGUGCGGUAACACAUGGGUUGAAAUGUACGAAGAGAAAUGUGCAACAAAACGGAAGAAUUGAAAGAAAAUUCCCUGUCGCCAACGUUUUAAGAGAAACCAAAGGAAAAGUUCGCUUUGUCACUCGGUUAAUGAACAGGUAAAAAAUUAUGACGUAAAAGAAAUAAACUACUGACAGUUGUUGUC